UAGAUAAGGAGCUGAUAGCGUUUUCAUUGUUAAUGAAAUGAAGUAGAGGGGCUGUAACUAG
rnacentral:tRNA from 1 species